rnacentral:rRNA from 1 species
CCUACGGGGGGCAGCAGUGAGGAAUAUUGGUCAAUGGGCUUACGCCUGAACCAGCCAAGUCGCGUGAGGGAAGACUGCCCUAUGGGUUGUAAACCUCUUUUGUCAGGGAGCAACGCCGGCUACGUGUAGCCGGACUGAGAGUACCUGAAGAAAAAGCUCCGGCUAACUACGUGCCAGCAGCCGCGGUAAUACGUAGGGAGCAAGCGUUGUCCGGAAUUACUGGGCGUAAAGGGCGCGUAGGUGGGCGCUUAAGUCAGGUGUGAAAACUCCGGGCUCAACCUGGAGACUGCACUUGAAACUGGGUGUCUUGAGGGCAGGAGAGGAAAGUGGAAUUCCUAGUGUAGCGGUGAAAUGCGUAGAUAUUAGGAGGAACACCAGUGGCGAAGGCGACUUUCUGGACUGUACCUGACGCUGAGGCGCGAAAGCGUGGGUAGCGAACGGGAUUAGAUACCCGGGUAGUC